GUAAAUUGCAACAAUCUUCAGUCCCUGCCAACUGAGUUGCAAAGCCUUUCCACCCUCCGACUUUUGGAGAUAACAAAUUGCCCUGAGAUCCGCUCGCUGCCAGAAAAAGGGCCUGCCUUCAUCCCUAGAAAAGUUACAUUUCGAUAAUUGUCAUCCGGUGCUGACUGCGCAAUUGCAAAGGCACAGAGAAAUGAUGAAAAAGUCGCAUAAUGUGAUUUCGUAGCCUACCGAGACAGGGUCUCCGUCCAUUGCUGCCGCACCAGCUCUCCAUGUUACUCUUUUUGUGCAAACAGAUGGCCGUUACUCUUUUGUACUUAGCCAGCAAUAGCAAAUGGAUUGCUCCUUAAAAAGCAAAAAAUGGAUUGUUUGUAUUUAUGAUAAAUUGCAGUGCUUGUAAAUAUAUGUAGACUGAUGAUUUACAGCGGAAA